rnacentral:hammerhead_ribozyme from 1 species
ACCCAGCUGACGAGUCCCAAAUAGAAGGAAACGCGUGUCCUGAAU